GAGAUUUUAAGGGAAAAAAAAGAAACAAAACAAACAGCCAAAAAAACUCCACAAAACCAAACCCCCGAAAGAUUCUAUCAACCGGAGACUUAAGGAGAAUGUUUUAAAACCUAAAUAAGAGUUGUACAAAACUACAUGAAUGUGGCCAAAAGGAGUGGCACGUCCCUACUCCAGCCGAGGUGCCAUGACCAGCUGUGAACAUCCCUUACUCUAGAAAGAGGAGUGAGGACUAGCUCAGCCUUGGUGGAAAAGACUACACAUAAAGGAGAUGAAUCCCACCACAAAAGGAAACACAGGUGAACCUCAUCCCAUUUGACUCCUCAAGCUACCUGCCUCCUGUGGUGUGGAGAAAGGAUCAGAUACAUACCAAGACUGUGGCUUGUGUCUGACUGAAUGCUGUUCUCCUCAUGGAAUCAGCCUGGCUGCUGAACCCAGAUUCUUUUCAUGUUCAGAUGAUGUUACAGAAAACCAUCAGGAAAGGGUUUCCUGAUAAGUGCAAGUGUCAGUGGAAAGAUCUAAACGAACACUAUGCUGAAUCCCUGUCAUUGGUAAAGAGCAGAGUGCAGGUGUUUGUGGCCAAGAAAUUGAAGAAAUCCACCAAACAUCUUUGGCCUGGUGCUGUUUGAGAAUUCCUACCUAAGCAGAAAGACUUAGACCUGGAUUCCUCACGUACCAGUCCUGCACUUGGCUACCCCUUGCUGCUCCGGAUCAGCAGUCACAGCUCAAAGGAAAUGGAAAAGGUCACGUCCUGAUCCCACCAGGCUGUGCCACAACUCUACCAUCUGGAGAACAAACCUUCUUCAUAGGGGAGAGCAAAGCUGUCCCUCAAGGCAGCUGCCAGGUCCAGAUACAAAGUGCUGCAUUCCCCUUCCAUUUCUUCCAGUUGAGAAUGGAAGAGGAAGGGGAGGAAGGAGAAGAGUUAAACUCAGCUGACAGAGAACAGUCUUGAGCCAACUAUGACAAGAGAUGACAAUAACCAUCUUGCAAAACCAUUUGGCCAGGCAAUGCUGCUCACUGCACCCUAAUACAAUAAGAAAUCCAUCAAAGCAGUCAAGAUGUUAACCAAUUUUUCCAAUUUCUUUUAAAAAGAUCGAGUGCUGUGGCAGAAUAAACUCCCAUCUAGAUAAUUUUUGUUGACACAGUAGUGUACAUCACCUGGACAAGCUGCCUUCUUUGAUUUGUUUCACCCACCAAUAAGGCUAAGCAAGCUCGGCCAUCAUGAGAAAGGAUGCUUCUCAGAGGGGAGGCCAGCAUCAAAGGAGGUAAACCUGCUGCAGCCACAGACUUCCCAGAUUAUCUGAUCUUCCUAUGCGGUCCCAAACAGCUGCGUAUUUCCUACGUUACACAAACCAGCCUGGGCAGCUCCCCAUCUACAGCCCACUGCUGCACAUCCCAGGCUAUCCAGUGAAGACUCACCUGGGCCAACCAGGAUGCAGGCUGAGCAGGCACAGUCUCUGCAGAGGAAAAUCCAUCCUGUUUGGAGCUUUGCUGUUAGAGAUCAUCUUGUCUGAGAAGAGCUGGAAAAGUUAAGAUGACUCUGUGAUUCUAUGAGUUAAGCUACUGAUGUAAGAUUGCUAUAUAGGCAGUAUUUGCCUGGUCAUCUUCUACCAACAGAAGUCAGCAUCCCUUUGCCUCACCUUGUCACACAGCUGUAAGCCUGAUGCAGCUUGUGACAACACCCACAGCAGUGAGUAUGUGGGAGAAAUACAAUUCCAAGUCUAAAAUUUUACACACUGCUGUUAUGAGCUGUGAACUGAUGGCAGCUUUCCAUCUGGAAACAGUUGGACUAGUAUGUGGAUAAAGUAAACCUUGUAUUUUACAACUGUACUUGUCUUAUCUGCUGCAAGGUAAGGAUUUCUGGAAAAUGGAUCAAUGCACAAACACGUGCUGCUAGCCUCACAACAAGUGUAAUAGAAAGUAAUGAAAUUGUCACACUUGUCCUGUGAUCCCUUUGCAUGUGGAUUUUCAAACCCAGCUUGGCAUAUUUUCUUGGAAAAUGUGAUUAUUUUUUUUUUUCAGCGAAGAAGCCAUUUAGUUGUUAAAACAUCUUUCCUUGCAGAGCAUGAUUGAAUGUUCCUUGGAUGCCAAUCAGUGAGGAAAAAGAACAGACAAAACUCUUGGAGUGUUAAAAAGCUUCUUAGCUGCCAUCCCCCUUCCUGCUUUCCUUAAGCAGCCAGUCUUGUGGGGAGAUGGUUUUUCUCUUCUUGCAAAAACAGUGGGGCAUGUGCAAAGCAGCUUCCAGCAGAAGCAAGUUGCUUCUUAACUAAAAGCAUGGCUAAACCCAG